UACGUAGGGUGCGAGCGUUGUCCGGAAUUACUGGGCGUAAAGAGCUCGUAGGUGGUUUGUCGCGUUGUCCGUGAAAACUCACAGCUCAACUGUGGGCGUGCGGGCGAUACGGGCAGACUGGAGUACUGCAGGGGAGACUGGAAUUCCUGGUGUAGCGGUGGAAUGCGCAGAUAUCAGGAGGAACACCGGUGGCGAAGGCGGGUCUCUGGGCCAUUACUGACACUGAGAAGCGAAAGCAUGGGGAGCGAACAGG
rnacentral:rRNA from 1 species